CCCCUCACUCACUCACUCACUGCAGUGCUUCUCCGGCGACCACCGAACCGAGAAUCGAGAUGAUUAUUGCGGCGACGGGUUCAUCGUAGAUGAUGCUUCCGCCGGUGGCAUCUCAUUGCCGUUCUCACUCUUAAUCGCUGAUCGCUGCUUUCACCCGUCUCUCUUCAGAGGCUAAUGCUGCCUCUUCACUUUUCAACCUUCAUCUUUUGUUUUCCUUCAUUUUCACGGUUCUACCUUCAAUCUCAACCCUAACAUUAGGGUUCUUGGUCCGUUUUCCAAUUUCCCACACAAUAUUCAGUGAUGGCUUUCUUGAUUCGAUUGGAAAAGAUGAAAAGUUCUUUCACCCCGCAAGGAGGAGCAAGUGCCACGGUUGGACCAGAAGGAUUUUCUGACAGUUGAGCAUCUCCUGGAUCAUACAUAAAUAACAGCGUGCUAUAUGUUGUAAUAGAAUUUCGUGCACUGCCGCUAAUCUAGUGUAGAAGUAGAACCGAAGAGCUCCUCGCCGCAUGCUUUUGGGAUUUGGGGCUGCUUCAUUCCUGUCUCAGUCUAUGAACAUGUCUGGUGAUGUGGGUGGCAAGUCCUUCAUUGCUUCUGCAAGGAUAACGGGUGGUCCCUCUGUGGAUGAGAUACUUAAAAAUGUGGAAUGGCCAGAGCAGUUCCCCUUCAAGGAGGAGGAUUUUCAGCGAUAUCAUGAUCGAAUGAAAGGUGUCUUACUUUUGAAGAAGGCAAAGGAAUAUGGUGCAGUAGAAAUUUAGAUAAAUGAGUGAGUAGAGCUUGUGCAAACACCUCUGCAGAUUUUAUUGUUAUUCUUGAGAGCUCUAUUAAGAGAAGGCUGCUGAAUACUGGCUCAUAUGGCGGUUUGAAGGUGAUUCCACCUUAGCGAUCUGAUGCAGAGUAUAUUGUUUCUAUAUAACGUUGGUAGUCUCUUUAAAUACAAGUUUGUACUUGAUAAAUUGAUUGUUUUGUUAGCAUUUUGGUCUUCAAUUUUCUAAAGAAGUUUACAUCAGAAAGGAAAAGUGGGUUGUGGGGAGGGGGAGGGUAAACAACACACCGUUCUUAGUCUUUAAUUUGUGAGGAUAAUAUGUUUCAUAUUCUUUAACUACUCUUCAGUACGUUUCUAAAGCACUAAGUUAAUGGUGGAAUUCUAUUUGAA